rnacentral:rRNA from 1 species
GAUGAACGCUGGCGGCGUGCUUAACACAUGCAAGUCGAACGAUGAAGCCCAGCUUGCUGGGUGGAUUAGUGGCGAACGGGUGAGUAACACGUGAGUAACCUGCCCUUAACUCUGGGAUAAGCGUGGGAAACUGGGUCUAAUACCGGAUAGGAGCGUCCACCGCAUGGUGGGUGUUGGAAAGAUUUAUCGGUUUUGGAUGGACUCGCGGCCUAUCAGCUUGUUGGUGAGGUAAUGGCUCACCAAGGCGACGACGGGUAGCCGGCCUGAGAGGGUGACCGGCCACACUGGGACUGAGACACGGCCCAGACUCCUACGGGAGGCAGCAGUGGGGAAUAUUGCACAAUGGGCGCAAGCCUGAUGCAGCGACGCCGCGUGAGGGAUGACGGCCUUCGGGUUGUAAACCUCUUUCAGUAGGGAAGAAGCGAAAGUGACGGUACCUGCAGAAGAAGCACCGGCUAACUACGUG